CAGUAGCCGCGGUAAUACGUAUGUCGCAAGCGUUAUCCGGAAUUAUUGUGCAUAAAGGGCAUCUAGGCGGCCAGGCAAGUCUGGGGUGAAAACCUGCGGCUCAACCGCAGGCCUGCCCUGGAAACUGCGUGGCUAGAGUGCUGGAGAGGUGGACGGAACUGCACGAGUAGAGGUGAAAUUCGUAGAUAUGUGCAGGAAUGCCGAUGAUGAAGAUAGUUCACUGGACGGCAACUGACGCUGAAGUGCGAAAGCCGGGGGAGCGAACAGGAUUAGAUACCCCCGUAGUCCCUGUCUCUUAUAC
rnacentral:rRNA from 1 species